rnacentral:rRNA from 1 species
AGACCUACGGGGGGCAGCAGUGGGGAGUAUUGCACAAUGGGGGAAACCCUGAUGCAGCGACGCCGCGUGAGCGAAGAAGUAUUUCGGUAUGUAAAGCUCUAUCAGCAGGGAAGAAAAAUGACGGUACCUGAGUAAGAAGCACCGGCUAAAUACGUGCCAGCAGCCGCGGUAAUACGUAUGGUGCAAGCGUUAUCCGGAUUUACUGGGUGUAAAGGGGGCGCAGACGGCCAUGGCAAGCCCGGUGUGAAAGGUGCGGGCACAACCCGCAGACUGCACUGGUAACUGCCUGGCUGGGGUGCCGGCGG